GACGAACGCUGGCGGCGUGCCUAACACAUGCAAGUCGAACGGGGCUCUUUGGAUCGAGACUUCGGUCAAGUGAAUCUGAGCUUAGUGGCGGACGGGUGAGUAACGCGUGAGCAACCUGCCUUUCAGAGGGGGACAACAGUUGGAAACGACUGCUAAUACCGCAUAACGUGUCGAGGAGGCAUCUCCUUGACACCAAAGAUUUAUCGCUCUGAGAUGGCCUCGCGUCUGAUUAGCUAGUUGGCGGGGUAACGGCCCACCAAGGCGACGAUCAGUAGCCGGACUGAGAGGUUGGCCGGCCACAUUGGGACUGAGACACGGCCCAG
rnacentral:rRNA from 1 species